GUGCAUCUAUUUGACGGGCCUGGAGCAGUUCCUGUUUGCUAAGGUUUCCACUACAGAUGCAAGAAAAAAGUGCCCUCACACUUUCCGUCUGUCUGUGGCAGCCCAGAUUGAAUGGGGGAAUACAGGA